rnacentral:rRNA from 1 species
UACGGAGGGAGCUAGCGUUGUUCGGAAUUACUGGGCGUAAAGCGCACGUAGGCGGCUUUGCAAGUUAGAGGUGAAAGCCCGGGGCUCAACUCCGGAAUUGCCUUUAAAACUGCAUCGCUAGAGUUGUGGAGGAGGUAAGUGGAAUUCCGAGUGUAGAGGUGAAAUUCGUAGAUAUUCGGAAGAACACCAGUGGCGAAGGCGGCUCACUGGACCGGUAUUGACGCUGAGGUGGCGAAAGCGUGGGGAGCAAACAGG